rnacentral:lncRNA from 1 species
CAACAGUCAAGUUGCGCGCUUGACUCAGCCUACCCUAAACACUUAGCCAAUUUUCAGUAAGUUUGGCUUAAACGAAAUUAUAGGCAACAAAUCAAUAAGAACACCAGCCAAUACGGAAAAAUUCCCAACCCUUGUAUUAAUUUCAAAAAUAUAAAAGGACCCUCACUUUUCUAUGAACACGGUCCGCUCACAGUUCACUUUUAACGAAGAACACA